rnacentral:rRNA from 1 species
GACGAACGCUGGCGGCGUGCUUAACACAUGCAAGUCGAACGGAAAGGCCCUGCUUUUGUGGUGUUCUCGAGUGGCGAACGGGUGAGUAACACGUGAGUAACCUGCCCUUGACUUUGGUAUAACUUCAGGAAACUGGGGCUAAUCCCGUAUAGGAGCUCCUGCUGCAUGGUGGGGGUUGGAACGUUUCGGCGGUUGCGGUUGGACUCGCGGCUUAUCAGUUUGUUGGUGGGGUAGUGGCUUACCAAGGCGUGGACGGGUAGCCGGCCUGGGAGGGUGACCGGCCACAGUGGGACUGGGAUACGGCCAAGACGGAUAAGGGGGGAAGGAGUGGAAGUAUGACCCAAUGGGCGGAAGCCUGAUGAAGAAACGCCGGGGGCGGGAUGACGGCCUUCGGGUUGUAAACAGCUUUAGCCUGUGACGAAGCGGGAGUGACGGUAAUGGGUAAAGAAGCACCGGCUAACUACGUG